rnacentral:rRNA from 1 species
CGGGGUGCACCAGGCGCGAAAACUUUACAAUGCCGGCAACGGCGAUAAGGGAACCUCGAGUGCCAGGUUACAAAUCUGGCUGUCGUGAUGCCUAAAAAGCAUUGCAUAGCAAGGGCCGGGCAAGACCGGUGCCAGCCGCCGCGGUAACACCGGCGGCUCGAGUGGUAACCGUUAUUAUUGGGUCUAAAGGGUCUGUAGCCGGCCGGAUAAGUCUCUUGGGAAAUCCGGCAGCUUAACCGUCAGGCCUUCCGGAGAUACUGUCUGGCUCGAGGCCGGGAGAGGUGAGAGGUACUUCAGGGGUAGGGGUGAAAUCUUGUAAUCCCUGAGGGACCACCAGUGGAGAAGGCUGUCUCACCAGAACGGACCUGACGGCAAGGGACGAAAGCUAGGGGCACGAACCGGAUGAGAUACCCGGGUAGUCCUAGCCGUAAACGAUACUCGCUAGGUGUCGGCCACGGUGCGACCGUGGUCGGUGCCGUAGGGAAGCCGUGAAGCGAGCCACCUCGGAAGUACGGCCGCAAGCCUGAAACUUAAAGGAAUCGGCGGGCGAGCACAAGGGCGAAUCG